rnacentral:tRNA from 1 species
GGCGGUGUGGUGAAAUUGGCAGACGCGCAGCACUCAAAAUGCUGUUCUCGUAAGGGAGUGUCGGUUCGACCCCGACCACCGCCACCA